GCGCGCUUUCAGCUAUGAUCACUUCCUAUUUACAUCAAUAAGUUCGUUAUUAAAUCACUGAACUAACAUCAGAAGGUAACGGCCCCCAGCUUCAGACGUCUGUCCCGGGCCACUGAGGGCCUCUCGGAGCCCAGCACAGGUCUCUCCUGCUGGCUUCUUCACUCAGAACAAUUGCCAGUGGACCUGAAUGAGGAAUGCUGAUCAUUUUGACGGAAAGCAUCAGAUUGGAAAGAAAAACUGGAAUCGGAAUGAUGUCUGUGGAUGAUAAGGUGAAUCACUGCUGCAUGACUGAAGAGAUUCUCAUCACAAUAUCUCUCAUUAUCGUCGAGCGUUCCCACGAUCAGAUGCUCUCUGGCGUGUUUUUCUCCUUUCAGCACGUCAGGUAUGUGUAUCACAUGCUAGUGAAUGAAUGCCAUCUGUCAACACUGACUGCUGCCGUCCAUGUGACUUUCUUGUCUUUAGAUGAAAACAAGGGAUUCUGCAUUCCUUCGGUCUCUGAUGGGUGUCACACUUCAGCAGGAGCUUGUUUGGGUGAAUCUG